rnacentral:rRNA from 1 species
UACAGAGGUCCCAAGCGUUGUUCGGAUUCACUGGGCGUAAAGGGUGCGUAGGCGGUCGGGUAAGUCUGAUGUGAAAUCUCACAGCUUAACUGUGAAACUGCAUUGGAUACUAUCCGGCUCGAGGAAUGGAGGGGAGACUGGAAUACUUGGUGUAGCAGUGAAAUGCGUAGAUAUCAAGUGGAACACCAGUGGCGAAGGCGACGUCAUGUGACUUCGUAUGCGCUGAGGACGAAAGCCGGGUAGGGCGAAACAGG